GGAACGUGAAGCUUCUCAAAGGUCAAAUGGUGAAAAAUGCCAUAGUCGAUUGCAGGUUGAGUCUCUCCCAUUUCUGAGAGGACUCAUCACACCUAAUUUGAGUAAUUUCCUUUUCAAUUUCCUGGGCCAUUUUAUUUUACCUCUGGCUGCCCCUUGGAUGAGUGCAGUUUCCUUUGCUGUGAUAAAACACCAUCCCAAAAGCAACUAGGAGAGAAGGGUGUGUGUCAUCUUACAGCUUGUAAACCAUCAUCCAGGAAAGGCAGGGAAGGAACUCAAGGCAGGUACCUAGAGGAAAAAGAAACUUGGAGUAAGAUGAAAGAAGAAAGAGGAAAGACAAGAAAUCAAGAACUCCAAA
rnacentral:lncRNA from 1 species